rnacentral:rRNA from 1 species
UACGUAGGGGGCUAGCGUUGUCCGGAAUCAUUGGGCGUAAAGAGCGUGUAGGCGGCCAGGUAGGUCUGCUGUGAAAACUCGAGGCUCAACCUCGAGACGUCGGCGGAAACCAUCUGGCUAGAGUCCGGAAGAGGAGAGUGGAAUUCCUGGUGUAGCGGUGAAAUGCGCAGAUAUCGGGAGGAACACCGGUGGCGAAGGCGGUUCUCUGGGCCUUACCUGACGCUGAGGAGCGAAAGCGUGGGGAGCGAACAGG